rnacentral:rRNA from 1 species
UCGAGGGAGGAGCCUUCGGGCUUCGACCGGCGUACGGGUGCGUAACGCGUAUACAAUCUGCCUUUCACAUAGGGAUAGCCCGAAGAAAUUUGGAUUAAUACCUAAUGGUAUAUAGUUGUGGCAUCACAUUUAUAUUAAAGCUGAGGCGGUGAAAGAUGAGUAUGCGUUCUAUUAGCUAGUUGGAGAGGUAACGGCCCCCCAAGGCGACGAUAGAUAGGGGUUCUGAGAGGGAUAUCCCCCACACUGGUACUGAGAUACGGACCAGACUCCUACGGGAGGCAGCAGUGAGGAAUAUUGGACAAUGGUCGGAAGACUGAUCCAGCCAUGCCGCGUGCAGGAAGACGGCCUUAUGGGUUGUAAACUGCUUUUGUAAGGGAAGAAUAAGAGCUACGUGUAGUUUGAUGACGGCACCUUACGAAUAAGCAUCGGCUAACUCCGUGCCAGCAGCCGCGGUAAUACGGAGGAUGCGAGCGUUAUCCGGAAUCAUUGGGUUUAAAGGGUCUGUAGGCGGGCUAUUAAGUCAGGGGUGAAAUCUUACAGCUUAACUGUGAAAUUGCCUUUGAUACUGGUAGUCUUGAAUAUUUGUGAAGUUUUUGGAAUGUGUAGUGUAGCGGUGAAAUGCUUAGAUAUUACACAGAACACCGAUUGCGAAGGCAGGAGACUAACAAAUGAUUGACGCUGAGAGACGAGAGCGUGGGGAGCGAACAGGAUU